rnacentral:rRNA from 1 species
AGUCACUGGGACUCGUAAUAAACCCAGAGGCGAAGUGAAAGCGGAAGGCUGCUGCCGCCCCCCCCUCGCCCUCGGGCUUGGGUGGGGGGGGUUUGCGAGUCCUUCGGGAGGAUGGGCGAGCCCCUCGGGGCCGCCCCGCACUCCCGGGGCGCCUCGGCCUCGGCCGCAGGCGCACCCGGAGCGCACACGUUGGGACCCGAAAGAUGGUGAACUAUGCCUGGCCAGGACGAAGUCAGGGGAAACCCUGAUGGAGGUCCGCAGCGAUUCUGACGUGCAAAUCGAUCGUCAGAGCUGGGUAUAGGGGCGAAAGACUAAUCGAACCAUCUAGUAGCUGGUUCCCUCCGAAGUUUCCCUCAGGAUAGCUGGCGCUAAUCUGGAAUGACGAGUCUCAUCCGGUAAAGCGAAUGAUUAGAGGCCUUGGGGCCGAAACGACCUCAACCUAUUCUCAAACUUUAAAUGGGUGAGAUCUCCGGCUUGCCCGAUUCUUAUCGAAGCCGAGAGAGUAGUCGGAUCAGAGUGCCAAGUGGGCCAAUUUUGGUAAGCAGAACUGGCGCUGUGGGAUGAA